rnacentral:rRNA from 1 species
CCUACGGGUGGCUGCAGUGAGGAAUAUUGGUCAAUGGGCGCGAGCCUGAACCAGCCAAGUCGCGUGAGGGAAGACGGUCCUAUGGAUUGUAAACCUCUUUUGUCGGGGCACAAAAGACGCCACGCGUGGCGUUCCGAGAGUACCCGAAGAAAAAGCAUCGGCUAACUCCGUGCCAGCAGCCGCGGUAAUACGGAGGAUGCGAGCGUUAUCCGGAUUUAUUGGGUUUAAAGGGUGCGCGGGCGGAAGAUCAAGUCAGCGGUAAAAUGGAGAGGCUCAACCUCUUAGAGCCGUUGAGACUGGUUAUCGUGAGUAAGCGAGAAGUAUGGGGAAUGCGGGGGGUAGCGGUGAAAUGCAUGAAUAGCACGAAGAACUC